UAGGGCAUCUGUCAUUGCUUAAUUAAGAUGCAAAUUGUAGCUGUCUCCAUGGUGAUGAAGUCACUUUAUCAUGUUGAUGAAAUACAAACAUAGCUGGAUGUGCCCAGCUGAACCAGCUAUAACAGAAGAAAAAAAUGUCAGGGUUUUCUACAUCUCCAGCAGUGCUCAGCCAAAUUCUACCCUUGUCUCCCUCUCCAGCCAACCUCUAAGAGGUCUCUGGGCAUGGUGAGGUCCCAGCACUCACAUCGAUGGUGAGAGACUGAGCAACUCCACAAAUACCAAAUCUGGCCCAAGAUCACCGGCAAGGGGGAUCACCUCAUGGGGAAACUGAGGCAUGGAAGGGCUCAAGGCCAUACCAGAUCCCUGCAGAGCAUCCUCUGCACUGCAUCUCUCAGCUUCCACCCUUUGCACUUUCCCCUCCCUUCCUGUCUUCUUCCCUCCCCUCCCCUUUCCUCCCCUCUCUUUCCAUUUUCCACUGCAAGUAAAGCAGCGUGAAGGCAAGAGAGAACUGCUACAUACAAAAUAAAGACCAAGGAAUCACAGAAUACGCUGAGUUGGAAGGAACCUACAAGGAUCAUCGAGUCCAACUCCUGGCCCCGCACAGGACCAUCUCCAAGAGCCACACCAUGUGCCCAAGAACAUUGUCCGAAGCUUCUUGAGCUCUGUCAGCCUUGGUUCUGUGACCACUUCCCAGGGCAGCCUGUUCAGUGCUCAACCACCCUCUGGGUGAAAAACCUCUCUCUAACAUCCAACCUAAACCUCCUCUGACACAACUUCAGGCCAUUCCCUCAGGUUCUGUCUCUGGUCACCACAGAGAAUAGAACAUUCUCCUACAAAGAAAUGGACACUGAUGACCAGUGCAUGUAUUUACCUUCCCAACCUCCCAGCUAGACAAAAUAUGUUGUUCCCAACCUGAGCCAAGGGCCCUGGCCAUCAUCUCCAGGACAUGGGUUGCACUGCUGGCAUGGCAGCCAGCAGGCAUUCCCAGUGCACUGGGAAUGGGAGAGAGGCAGGACCUAAUGAGGUCAGGAGACACAUGUGGUCAAUCCUCUGCAAUCCUAGGCUUUCACUGCAGGGCCUUGGUUUAUCUAAGUCACAAUCACAUCCUCGCCAGGCCAGGUGGUCUGGGUCCCAGACAGGCCCAUGGCACAAGCAUGAGCAAGCCUUGGGACAGCCUUUGGGAUGGCUUGACAUGUGCAUCCUGCACCUGGUGGAGAUGGUGCCAAGUUCUGGCUGUAUCACUGCCAACCUCUCUCUGCCCCUGGAGGAGGUCACCACAAGCACGUGGUGUGCCAGGUGUUGGCCUCACUAAUUUGCCAGGGGUCACCUGCAGCUGAGGCAAAGACCACCUCUGGCUGAAGUGAGGGCUUUCCACUCAUCCCCCUCCAACAGCCCCGCUAGACUUGAUUUCUGUCCAUUUUGAGCCUUCCCCAUGUGACCGACGAUGACUUCCACACAAUCCCCAUUGUCAUCCACCUGCCAGGGGCACAGAGAUUUCUCUUUACUUGAAAGCAGCUUAAGCAGCACCUGGUCUCUGGACAGCUUUGUGCACUGCCCUAGCACAGCUCUUUCCCACUGAGCUCUCUGGGACAAACCUUAUGCUCCUGGCCUGGGUAGAAGCAGAAGAAAAAGAGGGAGAGAAUUUCUUCCAUCAAGCUCCCUGGAUGCAUCCAUGCUGAAAUGACUCUCAGAUGGCCUGUCCCAUACACUUACAGUGCUCAUUUCCUGGCACAACCUACACUUGCAGAAGUACCAUCAGCUGGAACAUGCCUGGACUGGAGGGCAGAGCUGGGGUCAUGCUGGCCACAGCAGAGGCUUUUCUGGAGCUGUGCUGUUUCGUUUCCUCUCACAUUAAAGGCUUGGCAAAGCACAGCACUCAUCAGAAAGCCAGCAGGAUGGAGUGUGCAUUGCUGAUGGCAGGUUGCAGUUCUUCCUAAUUAAAGGCAGGUAUUUGAAAAGGGCUACAGCUCUAUGUAUUAUACUUGUGCCUCCAUGCCAUCACUCUUCUGCUUUCCUUUGCCACUUCCAGCUGUUACAUACCAUCUAUAUGAUCUCUGUCCAGAUUACUAAUGAAUGCCUCCUUAGAACAAAAAUUGGCUUCUUAUUUAGUAGACUCAUAAUGAUUAUGACCUAAAUACAUUAUCAGCCAUAGGGCACAAUUUAUUUUAAGCUGCAGUACACAGGGACUGAGGUUUACGUUCCUUGAUGCGAUUUCUUUUCCUUUUGUAAAAGCAAUUACGUGCAUUUGACUGCAUAUUGCCAUUGUGGAAGCUUUUUAUGCGAGAGUUAGUUGUGCACAGAGCCAUUUAUAAAUGGCAAUUCAAAGAACAGGCAGCAAUACAAUGGGGCCUGCAAGAGGGCUUAAGGAGAACGGAAACUAAAUACAGGAAUUCAGUGUGCUCCCAAGAAAUUAUCUGCUUUCACUCUCAUGAUGGAUUGAAUUGUCAAGAGGUUUUAUAAUAUACAAGGGAAUACCAGUAACUGGUUGUGUUACUGUACUCCAAAUGCCAGCAAUACAGAUUAGCAGCGUGCUGAUGGAGUUCACAGCUGGGUGCCGCCAGCCCAGGGGAUUUGAGCAACAUUUGGGGACAGAGCUCGAAGAAUCACUUUUUGCUGCUCCUUGCAUGGAUAAUAAAAUAUAACUAGUGUCCUUUGCAGUUAUUUCAGUGGGUAAAAACAGCUGAACUGGGGUUCUCAGGUCCAGUCAUCUCUCUGGAAGGUGUUGGUGUAGUGCAGUCUCAAAUCCAAGCAGCCCAGAAGGUUCAUGCACAAAGAACUGUAGCAUGAGCUCCCUUACCCAGCUUCCUUGGGUAACAUAAAGCAUUAAAGACACUGAAAAAGCUGUACUAAGAGAAAACAUUCACUAUACCUGCUUUUGAAAAAGAUGUGGGAAAGAGAGAAUGGACUUUGCAGAAAGGUUUUGAUCUUUAACUACGCAGGAGACUCAAUUUUCAAAAGCAACUGGAGAUCUAUGCACCUUAAUUUUUGGCUGCUAAAUUAUAAGCUCUUAAAAGAGAUUCUUUGACAAGCAAAAGCAGACAUCAAUUUUCAACCAAUAGUCUACAUGGAUGUGUAAAAAGGAAAGACCCAAAAUAAUUAGUGACUCUAAAUUUUAGGAUUGGGAACAAAAGGUGCUUGGGCUUGAGUCUCCCAGGAACACUGUCCUUUAGCCAUCUUCUCCCAGUUUGCUCAUCUUAUCCAUAUAUUUCUUUAGAUCAAAAGUUAAUGGCAUAUACAGAGUCUGAAAAAUUUUUAUUCUUGAAGAAAAAAAAAUCCCAAGGCCAACCUUUCAGUUAGUUGAUUCUUGGAUUUGUUGUCAUCUUUGUAAUCAUGACUUGGUUCCUUCAGGAGUGCUUUCAGGCACAUUUCUUUUGUGUUCCCUUUUGGAAACUCCUUCUUCACUUGCUCUGUGUUUCAGCAUCUUUUGGCAAAAUACUUGAAAAGGUGAUAAACCCCGUAAUGUGCCAUACAAGCAAGAAAAAGACUGUCCUUAGCAGAAAUUAAAUGUCUGUGUUCCAGUGGUACCCAGGACCUCUGCACACAGGAAUUUUUGGAUGUAUGUGGACAGGCUCUUUGUAAGAUGCAGUAGGUCCAAUAGGUUUCAGAGGCAUCAGAUACUGUCCUUGCACAGAAAACACAUUUGGAAUCUCCAGGGAAAUGCACAGAGCCCUUAAAUCCAAACCAGAGGGCAUUCCUUGGCAACAGGAGGGAAGGUAUGUGCAGGACACAAGUUGUCUGGGCUCAUCCCUCACCUGAAAUAAUCAGAGAUGGGUUAAAACAGAGGAUUUAUAGAUAUUUCAAUCUCGUCAGAAAAAAUGGUCCUAAGGGCAAGUUUCAUCAAGCUCUUGUUAUGGAUUCCAGGUGGUGCAGAUGACUUACUGUAACCUACUGGACAGUAUUACAGCAAGGGGGUCCCAGGCUUGGAUGGAGCCUUCAAAUGCUGCUGUGUGGUACAUAAAUAAAAUUAACAUGGGGAAUUAAUUACUUUACAAAAGUUUAGAUUGUCUAUGAGCCUCCUGUUUGCUGCUUGUAACAUAAACUGACACGUUUCCUGUUUUCUUUUGUAAAAGUUGCUUUUCACCUUCAGUUUCCUUUUAAUUUCUUGGAACUGUGCAAACUUCAUUAUCUUCCCAAAGGCAUUGGGAAUUAGGAUUUUCCCAUGCUUACUGCAAAUGCCAAUUAUCAGUGCCAAAAAAAAAAACCAACCCACUGUGCUCCCCUGAAAGCACCAUUCCUAGGAGCUAUUUGUUUUUAAUGAAGAAAUGCUGCAAUAAAGGUAAUUAAAUUAGAAUGGAACUUAAUAUAUAGAACUAGUGGUAGGAAAGAAGGAGAAUGGGAACCUUAAUUAUACCUGACAGAGGUAUGUGGCAGCACAUCCAAGCAGAGUCUAUAUUUUUCUCUUGCUUGAUACAUCCCUGCUCAGUUUAUGGCAUGAAAUCCAGAAUUUUUAAUAGUUUCAGUGGCUUUCAGCAAGUCUGGAUAAUGAAUGUUACCAAUGCUUGUGAUUGAUUUUUUUGCUGUAUUUUUAUUUAGGGUUUUUUGGUGUAUUUUUAUUUAGUUUUUUUUUCUUUUUUUUUUUUCCCCAAGGAAGGACAGUCUUGCAGAUGAGGCAUUUGUGUACUUCUCUUGAGAGCUUGGGUUAGCUCCUGGCUCCUCCAUAGAUUUCUUGUAACUUUGGUUUCUUCUUCCCUAGGAGGUGAGAAAAAGACCCAUGGCUCGUUCUGGAGGGUGAAUCCCCCCAGUUAGCAGCUGUGCACCUGGAGGGCACUGUUGUCUAAUCAGAUCCAUUGCCCAGAGGAGGGAAGCUUGUCCUUUCCAGUGCAAAGAGAAAACUGGGGAUGAUGUUGUGCAGACUUGGAUCCCCUGAGCACCUCUUGGCUCACCAGCAGCAGACGGAGCUGCUUGCCAAGAACCAGAGGAGGAGGUGAGGCAGAACAGAGCUGGCCAGACUCACCAGGGAAGGGGCUGAAAGGAGGACCAAGGCUUGGGAUCCUGGGACCACAGUGUCUAUUGCCCAGCUCUGGGAGUCCCUAACACCACCAGA